rnacentral:lncRNA from 1 species
ACUCCAGCACCUCAGAGGAGGCAAAAAGGUAAACACUGAAAAGAAAAUAUGCCGGGCACGGUGGCACAUGCCUGUAAUCCCAGCACUUUGGGAGACUGUGGCGGGCAGAUCUCUUGAGCCCAAGAGUUCGAGACCAACCUGCAAAAAAUUAGCCAGGUGUGGUGGUGUGCAUCUGUAUUCCCAGCUACUAGGGAGGCUGAAGCGGGAGGAUCGCUUGAGCUGGGAAGGUUGAGGCUGCAGUAAGCUAUGAUGGCACCUCUGUACUCCAGCCUGGGCAACAGAGUGAGACUCUGUCUCAAAAAAGAAAAAAGAGGGCGGGCGUAGUGGCUCACGCCUGUAAUCCCAGCACUUUGGGAGGCCGAGGCGGGCGGAUCACCUGAGGUCAAGAGUUUGAGACCAGCCUGGCCAACAGGGUGAAACCCCAUCUCUACUAAAAAUACAAAAAUUAGCUGGGCGUGGUGGUGUG